rnacentral:lncRNA from 1 species
AACUGAUAAGUUAACAACAAGCAUUUGUGAAAGAUUGCAAAAUAAAAAUAUUGUGAUUUUCCUUUGUCAUUGUCGAUAGAGAUUUGUGGUUGAGUUCUUGAAGAACUAGAUAUUCGUUCAUAAUUUAAAUAUAUAAGAUCUAUUUGAUCUUAGUAUAAGUUGAAUUUGCUCUUGAAGUAACAAAAUCGAGAAAAUAAUAUCAAGAAUUGAUAUAGUAGAGAUUAUCAUUUAUAUGAUACAUGCGAAGAUGGUAAAACUUUAUUAUGACUUUUGAUGAUUAUGAUUUUUGCUACUAAUGAGUUCUGAGAAGGCAUAUAAAUUAGA